rnacentral:rRNA from 1 species
UACGGAGGGAGCAAGCGUUACUCGGAAUUAUUGGGCGUAAAGGGCGCGUAGGCGAUCUGACAAGUCUGGUGUGAAAGCCCACAUGUUAACUGUGGAAGUGCAUUAGAAACUGUUGGAUUUGAGUUCAGGAGAGGAAGGCAGAAUUCCCGGUGUAGCGGUGAAAUGCGUAGAGAUCGGGAGGAACACCAGUGGCGAAGGCGACUACCUGGCCUGUUCUUGACGCUGAGGCGCGAAAGCUAGGGGAGCAAACAGG